rnacentral:tRNA from 1 species
GUUUCCGUAGUGUAGUGUUUAUCACAUCUGCCUAAGACGCCGAAGGUCCUGGGUUCGAAACUCAGUUGAAAUA